rnacentral:misc_RNA from 1 species
AGGUGGUCACGUAGGGAACUCAGCCUUACACACGAUUGCUCAUCCCCUUUCCCUUCCAGGGCGUACACAACGGCAGCAGCACAAGCCUGGAUACACACACACACACACACAUACCUUCUUUUUUAUUUCUUGGCGCGUGCGUUGUUCGGGGGCCCAUUGGGUGAGGCCUCUGCUGCGCACACGUCGUCAUGUGCUGUCGGGGUGCGGGGCGCUUUGGUUUCUCGCUCUGGUCUCUUCCUCUCCCUCCCUCCCUCUUACCCACAUGCCGUGCCUCUUGCACCUCAAUCCCGUUGUCUUCGUCGGCGCCUGCUGCUCUCCAUGCCGCCCCUCUUUCUGAAACGGCUCGGGCGAAAACCGAAUCCAACGAGUGGCGAGGCGGAUGCGCCGUAUACACGCGCAGAGAGGGGGAGAGGGAGGGAGAGGUGCGAAGUAGUGGACAAGAAACCAGAGCAGCAUCAGGACAUAUGUGGUAUUGUUUUUAUCACAUGUCUGUACAGAUGAGGAUAGAGUAAAAACACAGGAACCCCACUCUAGUGUACGUGCUCACACCCACGUGCGCACUACGUCACCCUUAGCGCGUUAGGAGAGGGUUUAAUGCAAAGGGCAUAGAGGGAGGGGGGCACGCUGCCAUCACUACGCACAUGGACGCAGUGGUGGAUUGAGUCGAAUGAGUGGAGAAGAGACGCGGCAUUCUUUCCUCGACGCUCACCCUUAUGCACAGGCGAUGCAGCUGCUAGCUGAUGUGUUUGGACCACCAGCCGCGCCACUACUGUAUCCACUGAGGUUUCGUCUCUUUUCGCUUCACCCGCAUUCUCAG